CUUCAGGUAAACAGAUGCUGAACUUUCACACCGUCCCGCCGCUUCUCUCCGGUAACAGACCCGGUGAAGCCCAGUGAAGCUGGUCCUGUCGGCCCGCUGUAGCCUCGGUGUCUCCGCCUGCUGCCGAACCGGAACCGGAUUAAACCGACCAACUUCUUCUUCAUGUUCGUCUUUAGAGCAACAACAAAGUUCCUGUUAGCCGUUAGCCGCUAGCUCCCCGCUCGGUGUCCGGUGCGGGCUCGGUGGGGUAGAAACGGUGUUUUACCGGCGGUGAACGGCUGUGACCGUUAACGGGCUGCUGCUGUCGGUAUUUCCAGGACAGCUUGAAGCUAACGGACCCGGAGCUAACACCGGAAUAACGGAGAGCACCGGGAAGAUCAACAGGUCACCGACCGGAACUUCAGCAACCAGGGAGAACCGUGCAGGACCCGACCCGUAAGGAUGUGCAGACUCUGAGGUCACCAUGGCAUUUCCAUAACAACGACCCUUCAGUCACCUGGACCCUCUCAAACAGGACUCCUGUGACACCUGCUGUUUCUGCGCUCUGAUUGGUCGCCUGUCAUCCACUUGUCAUCAUGCAGCUGGCCUAUCAGAAGCUGCCAGCUAAGUUGAGGCGGAGCUCCAGACUCAGGAAGCUGACAGCUGUGCUGCUGGCUGCCUACGCCGUCAAGAAACUCACCCCAUACAUCUGGAGGAGGCUGCAGAGGAGUGCAGCAGGUGAACCUCUGGGCGGAGCUAAUCUACCUGGGGGUGUGGUCAGCUGCACUAAUGGCGAGGAGAAGAAGAAGAAGAAUCACAGCAGGUCCCCCUCAGUGAACAGAGAGUUUGUCCUCCGACUGUCUCGUCUCCUGAAGCUCUUAUUUCCACGGUUACUGAGUCCAGAGAUCGGACUGCUGGUUCUGCAUUCUCUGACCCUGAUGUCCAGAACCUUCCUGUCCAUCUACGUGGCUGCACUGGACGGUGUGAUCGUGCGCAGCAUCGUGCAGAAGGAUCCUCAGGCCUUCGUGCUGCAGCUCUCUAAGUGGCUGCUCGUCGCAGUUCCUGCAACGUUCAUCAACAGCGCCAUCAGGUUCCUGGAGGGUCAGCUGACUCUCAGCUUCAGGAGCCGAUUGGUCAACCACGCCUACCAGCUGUACUUCACCAACCAGACCUAUUACCGUGUCAGCAACAUGGACGGUCGUCUGUCCAACCCCGAUCAGUCUCUGACCGAAGACAUCGUCAUGUUUUCAGCCUCCAUCGCUCACCUGUACUCCAACCUGACCAAACCUAUCCUGGACGUGAUCGUCACCUGCUACACGCUGUUGCGCACCGCCCACUCUAAAGGAGCUAACACCACGUGGCCGUCGGUCAUUGCCGGCCUGGUGGUGGCGCUGACCGCUAAAGUCCUGCGUUCCUGCUCGCCUCGCUUCGGCAAGCUGGUGGCCGAGGAGGCGAAGAGGAAAGGAGACCUGCGAUACAUGCACUCACGCAUCAUCACCAACUCUGAGGAGAUCGCAUUCUACGGAGGACACAAGGUGGAGAUGGCCCAGCUGCAGCGGAGCUACAUGUUGCUGUCGUCUCAGAUCCAUCAGAUCCUGCUGAAGCGUCUCUGGUACAUCAUGUUGGAACAGUUCCUCAUGAAGUACGUGUGGAGCGCCUCCGGCCUGGUGAUGGUUGCCGUGCCCAUCAUUACCGCCACUGGAUACUCUAAAUACGACUCGGAGGAGGUGAAGCAGGCGGCGCUGGUGAUGAAGGAGGAGGAUCUGGUGAGCGAGCGGACGCAGGCCUUCACCACCGCCAGGAACCUCCUCAAUGCCGCCGCCGAUGCCGUGGAGAGGAUCAUGAGCUCCUACAAAGAGGUGACGGAGCUGGCAGGCUACACCGCCCGGGUCUCUGAGAUGUUGGACGUGUUUGAAGACGUGAACCGAGGAAUCUACCGUCGCUCUGUGGACCGAGGGGAGGAGCUGAUGGCUGCAGGAGGAGAACCUGAACAUGGUCAGAGAGUCUGUGGUCCGCUGGAGAUCAGAGGUCAGGUGAUCAGUGUGGAGAAGGGGAUUCGCUGUGAGAACCUGCCAAUCAUCACACCCAGUGGAGACGUGGUGGUUUCCCGCCUCAACAUCCAGGUGGAGGACGGGAUGAACGUAUUGAUCACAGGUCCAAACGGCUGUGGUAAAAGUUCUCUGUUCAGGAUCCUCAGUGGACUGUGGCCUGUUUAUGGAGGAGUUCUAUACCGACCAGAACCACAGCACAUGUUCUACAUCCCUCAGAGGCCCUACAUGUCUGAGGGCUCCCUCAGGGAUCAGGUCAUCUAUCCAGACUCGGUGGAGGAGAUGCUUCAGAAAGGAAUCAGUGAUUGUGACCUGCAGGAGAUCCUCCGUACCGUCCACCUGCUCUACAUCCUGGACCGAGAGGGAGGUUGGGAGUCUGUGAGUGACUGGAAAGAUGUUCUGUCUGGAGGAGAGAAGCAGAGGAUGGGGAUGGCUCGCAUGUUCUACCACCGCCCUCGCUACGCCCUAUUGGAUGAAUGUACGAGCGCCGUCAGCAUCGACGUGGAGGGAAACAUCUUCCAGGCUGCAAAGGAUGCUGGGAUUGCUCUGCUGUCAAUCACACACAGACCCUCCCUGUGGAAGUACCACUCUCACCUGCUGCAGUUUGAUGGAGAAGGAGGAUGGAGGUUCGAGCCUCUGGAUGCCUCCACCCGUCUGUCCCUGCAGGUGUGUUUAAAUCUGUGCUCUGAUUGGUCCACUGUGUCACUCAGGUAUCAUCUGUACUCUAACCCCAUGCAGGUGAGUUUGGUUUGUUAGGAAGCUCAGUAACAGUUUAACGGGUAAUCUCCGGACCACCUGGAGAUCUUUUAUCUUCAGGAGCAGUUUUUCUGCCAGAACCAGGAAAACAGAACUUCCAGACGUUCUUGAAGCUAUCAUCUGUGAUGUUCAUGAAGAACAUUUACCAGAACGUCUGGAGAGGAAACAUGGAGAUAGAAAAACAUCUACAGCAGCAGGAGAUGGUAGAAACCAGCUGGAGGUUCUGAAAGACGUUUCUGGAAACCAUCACCAAUGCCUGAUGACUGAGAACCUCCACAGAAGGAUGAGGAGACACCAUUAGUUCAGAGUUGAACAUCUUAGGAGACAUGGUGGUUCCAGGUUUUUAUUAAAAUUGUUUUCUAUCGUUCUACUGCCAGCAGACCUCUGAGUUCUCUCCUUCAUGAUGUUCUGGUUCCUCAGAGCUGCAGAACUUCAAUAUGAUCCUCAGAGGAGAAGGAGACGAGAGCAGAAACCUCCAGGAACUGUUGGAGGUCUCACAUGCUUAUUCCGUAACGUGUUAAAACAGCAGCUGGAAUCACCAACUGCAGAUUCUGUGGUUACUGUGGUAACCGUCAGCAGUGCAACAUGCCUGCAGCAUGUGAUCUGCGUGUGCAUGAGAUCAGACUGCGGAAGCAGAGAGGAGGCUGAGAGCAGCCAAUCAGCUGCCGGUUCUGUGUCAGGUGACUGAUGAAUGGAGGCUGCAGUUUAUCAGCAGCUUUACAUUACAAGUUAGUGUUCCACAGGGCUCUCCAGGGGUUCUACGGGGUUCCAAGGGUUCUACUUUAAUGAUAAUAAAACUAUGAACCAAACAUGACACCAAACUAUAUCUACAUGUUGCUGAGACUCUGCUGCUUCUGGGAGGAUCAUGACUAAUAGUUUAUUAACUGAUGGAUUAGCAGUAGGUAUAGGUCAGCUGUAGUUCCUGGUUGUUCCAGCAGGUGGAGCCUCUUUCUGUUUAACCCUGUAGAGACCAGGGGAGGUUAAAGCAGAGAGCAUUGUGGGAGUUUAGUGAGCUGAGGAGGUUCAUGACUUCCAACCAGAGCUCAGGUGAAGUUCUCCUGGACAACUCUACCUGCUGUUCUGAACCUGUGGAUGUUCUGUCAGUGGUUCAGAGGUUCUUGUCUGAUAUGUUCUGGUAAUUUGACCAAAGACUAAAACAUCUACCACCAAAAAGUGAUUGAUUAAAAUCCAUGUGAAUAACUAUUGAUCAUUUAAUGCAGAACUGAGGCUUUUAUUUGUCAUUAUUUCAAUCCAACAAGCUUAGUGAUGAUCUGUUCUGAAUGAAGAACAGCAGGUAGAACGUAUGUCGUUUAAUGAAGAACAUCAGGUAGAACGUAGGUCGUUUAAUGGAGAACGUCAGGUAAAACGUAGGUCGUUUCAUGAAGAACGUCAGGUAGAACAUAGGUCGUUUGAUGACGAAUAUCAGGUAGAACGUAGGUCAUUUAAUAGAGAAUGUCAGGUAGAAUAUAGGUUGUUUCAUGAAGAACCUCAGGUAGAACGUAGGUCAUUUAAUGACGAACGUCAGGUAGAACGUAGGUCAUUUAAUGGAGAACGGCAGGUAGAAUGUAGGUUGUUUAAUGACGAACGUCAGGUAGAACGUAGGUCUUUUGAUGGCGAACGUCUGGUAGAAUGUAGGUCGUUUCAUGAAGAACAGCAGGUAGAACGUAGGUCGUUUAAUGACGAACAUCAGGUAGAACGUAGGUCGUUUAAUGACGAACAUCAGGUAGAACGUAGGUCAUUUAAUAGAGAAUGUCAGGUAGAAUAUAGGUUGUUUCAUGAAGAACGUCAGGUAGAACGUAGGUCAUUUAAUGACAAACGUCAGGUAGAACGUAGGUCAUUUAAUGGAGAACGUCAGGUAGAACGUAGGUCGUUUCAUGAAGAACAUCAGGUAGAACGUAGGUCGUUUAAUGGAGAACGUCAGGUAGAACGUAAGUUGUUUAAUGGAGAGCGUCAGGUAGAAUGUAGGUCGUUUCAUGAAGAACGUCAGGUAGAACGUAGGUCAUUUAAUGGAGAACGGCAGGUAGAAUGUAGGUUGUUUAAUGACGAACGUCAGGUAGAACGUAGGUCUUUUGAUGGCGAACGUCUGGUAGAAUGUAGGUCGUUUCAUGAAGAACAGCAGGUAGAACGUAGGUCGUUUAAUGACGAACAUCAGGUAGAACGUAGGUCGUUUAAUGACGAACAUCAGGUAGAACGUAGGUCAUUUAAUAGAGAAUGUCAGGUAGAAUAUAGGUUGUUUCAUGAAGAACGUCAGGUAGAACGUAGGUCAUUUAAUGACAAACGUCAGGUAGAACGUAGGUCAUUUAAUGGAGAACGUCAGGUAGAACGUAGGUCGUUUCAUGAAGAACAUCAGGUAGAACGUAGGUCGUUUAAUGGAGAACGUCAGGUAGAACGUAAGUUGUUUAAUGGAGAGCGUCAGGUAGAAUGUAGGUCGUUUCAUGAAGAACGUCAGGUAGAACGUAGGUCGUUUAAUGGAGAACGUCAGGUAGAACGUAGGUUGUUUAAUGGAGAACGUCAGGUAGAACGUAGGUCGUUUCAUGAAGAACGUCAGGUAGAACGUAGGUUGUUUAAUGGAGAACGUCAGGUAGAAUGUAGAUCAUUUCAUGAAGAACGUCAGGUAGAACGUAGGUCGUUUAAUGGAGAACGUCUGGUAGAACGUAGGUCGUUUAAUGGAGAACGUCAGGUAGAACGUAAGUUGUUUCAUGAAGAACAGCAGGUAGAAUGUAGGUCGUUUCAGGAAGAACGUCAGGUAGAACGUAGGUCGUUUAAUGACGAACAUCAGGUAGAACGUAGGUCAUUUAAUAGAGAAUGUCAGGUAGAAUAUAGGUUGUUUCAUGAAGAACGUCAGGUAGAACGUAGGUCAUUUAAUGACAAACGUCAGGUAGAACGUAGGUCAUUUAAUGGAGAACGGCAGGUAGAAUGUAGGUCGUUUCAUGAAGAACAGCAGGUAGAACGUAGGUCGUUUCAUGAAGAACAUCAGGUAGAACGUAGGUCGUUUAAUGGAGAACGUCAGGUAGAACGUAAGUUGUUUAAUGGAGAACGUCAGGUAGAAUGUAGGUCGUUUCAUGAAGAACGUCAGGUAGAACGUAGGUCGUUUAAUGGAGAACGUCAGGUAGAACGUAGGUUGUUUAAUGGAGAACGUCAGGUAGAACGUAGGUCGUUUCAUGAAGAACGUCAGGUAGAACGUAGGUUGUUUAAUGGAGAACGUCAGGUAGAAUGUAGAUCAUUUCAUGAAGAACGUCAGGUAGAACGUAGGUCGUUUAAUGGAGAACGUCAGGUAGAACGUAAGUUGUUUCAUGAAGAACAGCAGGUAGAAUGUAGGUCGUUUCAGGAAGAACGUCAGGUAGAACGUAGGUCGUUUAAUGAAAAACGUCAGGUAGAACGUAGGUCGUUUUGUCAGGAACCUAACGAGGCGGACCUGGGCGGAGAACCACACUACCAAGGCUGGUGGGAACGAGAAGGAUUUUAUUGUAAAUGUGGGUGGAUCAUGGCCAGGGUGUGGGAAUCAGGAAGGCGGAGGGUGGAGUGAGGUAGGGCCGGGAGGUUAACAGUUAACAAUGCCAAAAAACCCAACGGACUUCUGCAGGCUAGAAGGUGAACUGACUGGUGAGUCUUGUUCAAUGAUCUGGCAGGGUGUGGAAGGCUGAACCGGUACUUAUUGCAGGAGGUGUAAUCAAUGAGUUGUCUUCCAGCUGUCCGGGAUCCGUGGAUGUGGUUGAUUACCUGAGUGGAGUCAGCUGAGAAGCCGAACUCCACUCAGGUAAUGCUGCAAGGGAAGAGAGAGGUAGAGGAGUGGAUGGGAGACCGGGAAACAGAGGGACAAAGAGGCAGAAAGACAGAGAGGAGCACAGAGGGAAGAAUAGGGGGGAGACAGCAUAGGAUAGGGGUAUUUAGGAUGCCAGAUGGGGAGGACGAGGGUGAGGAGGGAGCUCUGACAUGUUUAUUGAAGAACAUCAGGUAGAAUGUAGGUCGUUUACUCAUGAACGUGAGGUAGAACGUAGGUUAUUUAAUGAUGAACAUCAGGUAGAACGUAGGUCGUUUCAUGAAGAACAUUACGUAGAAUGUAGGUCGUUUGAUGAUGAACGUCAGGUAGAAUGUAGGUCGUUUAAUAAAGAACAUCAGGUAGAACGUAGGUCGUUUAAUGAUGAACAUCAGGUAGAACGUAGGUCGUUUAAUGAUGAACAUCAGGUAGAACGUAGGUCGUUUAAUAAAGAACAUCAGGUAGAACGUAGGUCGUUUAAUAAAGAACAUCAGGUAGAACAUAGGUCAUUUAUUGAAGAACAUCAGGUAGAACGUAGGUCGUUUAUUGAAGAACAUCAGGUAGAACGUAGGUCGUUUAAUGAUGAACAUCAGGUAGAAUGUAGGUCGUUUAAUAAAGAACAUCAGGUAGAACGUAGGUCGUUUGAUGAUGAACAUCAGGUAGAAUGUAGGUCGUUUAAUAAAGAACAUCAGGUAGAACGUAGGUCGUUUAAUAAAGAACAUCAGGUAGAACGUAGGUCGUUUAUUGAAGAACAUCAGGUAGAACGUAGGUCGUUUAAUGAUGAACAUCAGGUAGAAUGUAGGUCGUUUAAUAAAGAACAUCAGGUAGAACGUAGGUCGUUUAAUAAAGAACAUCAGGUAGAACAUAGGUCAUUUAUUGAAGAACAUCAGGUAGAACGUAGGUCGUUUAAUAAAGAACAUCAGGUAGAACAUAGGUCAUUUAUUGAAGAACAUCAGGUAGAACGUAGGUCGUUUAAUGAUGAACAUCAGGUAGAAUGUAGGUCGUUUAAUAAAGAACAUCAGGUAGAACGUAGGUCGUUUAAUAAAGAACAUCAGGUAGAACAUAGGUCAUUUAAUAAAGAACAUCAGGUAGAACGUAGGUCGUUUAUUCAUGAACGUCAGGUAGAACGUAUGUCGUUUAUUCAUGAACGUCAGGUAGAACGUAGGUCGUUUAUUGAAGAACAUCAGGUAGAAUGUAGGUCGCUUAUUCAUGAACGUCAGGUAGAACGUAUGUCGUUUAAUGACGAACAUCAGAUAGAACGUAGGUCGUUUAAUGAUCCAUAGAUUAACUCACAAAAUUCUAAAUAAGGCUAGAGGAAGUGUCUGGAUCCACAAUAAAUAAUGACAGAAACUCAGACCCGUUAGAACAGACAGAACUAUCUGUUGAUGUUCUGGACCGGUAUCACCAGACGAGAACCAACUGGACCAGAACAAACCGGACCACAACAAACCAGACCAACAGCGACCUCCAGCGUCUGAGCUGCGGUUCGUAGUGGUGUUGAGGUUCCAGGUGUGAUUGAGGGAGUCGUGGAGCAGACUUGAUGUUUUCCUUCUGAGCUUCAUAAAGGUUUGUUUGUGAUUCAUCAAAGGAUUUGUUCUGGUGCUGAGGAGGAGGUUCCUGCUGCUGGUCAUCACCAACCGUGUUCUACCAGAGCUGAAGGACGUCUGUAGCUCCUGUCUCUACCAGCAGGGGAGACGAGCUGCAGACAGACCAGCUGUAGAGGCUGAACAUCAGAAACACCAGAUGAAGAUCAGAGGCUUUAGAGACAAACCCCAGAGAGAGAAUUCACCUGAGGGAUAAAACGUUCAGCCUGAUUCUGCUGCUAGUGUUAACCUGUACGAUGAUGUCGUCUCUCUCUGUGUGGUCACGUCAUCAUGAUGUCGUCUCUCUCUGUGUGGUGACAUCAUCAUGAUGUCGUCUCUCUCUGUGUGAUGACGUCAUUGUGAUGCCGUCUCUGUACCUGCAGGAGGAGAAGCAGCGCCUGGAGAACCAGCUGUCUGGGAUUCCAAAGAUGCAGCAGCGUCUGACUGAACUGUGCGUCCUGCUGGGGGAGGCUGAGGGGGAGGAGCCAUAAAUUGCUGCUUUUCCUGGUUACCAUGGAAACGCCAUUUUACUCCCAUAUGUGUGGCACACGGAACCCCUGAAACCAAGACCUUCAACUGAACUAGAACCCCAACUUGGACUUAAUUCUGAACCUGAUCCUGAACCUAAUCCUAAAUCUGAUCCUAAGCCACAUCUAACCUGUACCUGAACCUAAACCUGACCUUGAACCCGAUCCUGAACCUGAACCUGAACCUAAUCAGAAACCUAGAACUUAAGUCUGCAUCUGGUUCUAACUUGAGACUGAAACUGCACCUGAACUUUAAGCUGAACCUAGAUCUGGUCUGAGGCCUGGGCUGUGAAGCAGGUCCAGUAGAUCCAGGACGUCUUCAGGUGAUCUGGUUUCAUCUAACAACAUAAACCUGGUUGUCUGGUCUAGUUAACCUGGUCUAGUUAUCCUGGUCUAGUUAAUCUGGUCUAAUUAACCGGGUUUAUUUAACCUGUUCUAGAUUAUGUGGUCUAGUUAACCUGGUCCACCAGAGACCAGAACCAGGAAGCAGGUCCAGCAGAUCCAGACCUUCUGUCAGAAGCUAAAGCUGAACUUAGACAUCAGGAGGUGAGUCUACCUGUACUUGUUCACCAGGUGACCCAGCUGUGCAGCAUUGGUUACCAUGGUGAUGUCAGAGAACACCAUCUUGGUCCAGAAGGUUCCACCUGAAGUUUCCUCCAGAACCUCAGAUUCUGCUUCCUGGUUCAGAACUCUGUUUUCAUGUUGGACCAAUCAGGACAGCUGACAGGUUGGGGUGGGUCAUGUGACCUCUGCAGGUGUUUCCAAUUGUGUCAUUUUGAAUCUUUGACUAUUUGCAGAUCUGAUAGAUUCUAUAUAUUCGAUACACAAUCAAUGUAAUCAAUCAGCAGCUGAUCACUAAUCAAUGAGUCGCUGCUGAAUCAUAGAACCUUAUUUAAACACUGUCACGAUGAUGCUGUGUGAUGUCACAGAGAUGAUGUCAUCAAGUGUUAUUAAUAAAGUUCAGUAAUUUUAA